rnacentral:rRNA from 1 species
UGGGGAAUAUUGGACAAUGGGCGAAAGCCUGAUCCAGCCAUGCCGCGUGUGUGAAGAAGGCCUUUUGGUUGUAAAGCACUUUAAGUGGGGAGGAAAAGCUUAUGGUUAAUACCCAUAAGCCCUGACGUUACCCACAGAAUAAGCACCGGCUAACUCUGUGCCAGCAGCCGCGGUAAUACAGAGGGUGCAAGCGUUAAUCGGAAUUACUGGGCGUAAAGCGCGCGUAGGUGGUUAUUUAAGUCAGAUGUGAAAGCCCCGGGCUUAACCUGGGAACUGCAUCUGAUACUGGAUAACUAGAGUAGGUGAGAGGGGAGUAGAAUUCCAGGUGUAGCGGUGAAAUGCGUAGAGAUCUGGAGGAAUACCGAUGGCGAAGGCAGCUCCCUGGCAUCAUACUGACACUGAGGUGCGAAAGCGUGGGUAGCAAACAGGAUUAGAUACCCUGGUAGUCCACGCCGUAAACGAUGUCUACCAGUCGUUGGGUCUUUUAAAGACUUAGUGACGCAGUUAACGCAAUAAAGUAGACCGCCUGGGGGAGUACGGCCGCAAGGUUA